rnacentral:rRNA from 1 species
UACGAGGGGUGCAAGCGUUGCUCGGAAUUAUUGGGCGUAAAGGGUGCGUAGGCGGUUUGGCAAGUCUGAUGUGAAAUCUAUGGGCUCAACCCAUAGUCUGCAUCAGAAACUGCCGGGCUUGAGUAUGGGAGAGGUGAGUGGAAUUUCCGGUGUAGCGGUGAAAUGCGUAGAUAUCGGAAGGAACACCUGUGGCGCAAGCGGCUCACUGGACCAUAACUGACGCUGAUGCACGAAAGCUAGGGGAGCAAACAGG